rnacentral:rRNA from 1 species
UACGGGGGGUGCAAGCGUUGUUCGGAUUUACUGGGCGUAAAGGGCGCGUAGGCGGCCAGCGCAGGUCAGUUGUGAAAUCUCCGGGCUUAACUCGGAAAGGUCAACUGAUACUGCGCGGCUAGAGUGCAGAAGGGGCAACUGGAAUUCUCGGUGUAGCGGUGAAAUGCGUAGAUAUCGAGAGGAACACCUGCGGCGAAGGCGGGUUGCUGGGCUGACACUGACGCUGAUGCGCGAAAGCCAGGGGAGCGAACGGG